UACGAAGGGGGCUAGCGUUAAUCGGAUUUACUGGGCGUAAAGGGCGCGUAGGUGGUUACGUAAGUGAGAUGUGAAAUCCCCGGGCUUAACCUGGGAACUGCAUCUUAAACUGCGUAGCUGGAGUGCAGUAGAGGGUAGUGGAAUUUCCGGUGUAGCGGUGAAAUGCGUAGAUAUCGGAAGGAACACCAGUGGCGAAGGCGGCUACCUGGACUGAGACUGACACUGAGGCGCGAGAGCGUGGGGAGCAAACAGG
rnacentral:rRNA from 1 species